GUGUUUUAGUGCCCCAUAGAGUCCAGCGUCUGACCGAAGACUAGAAUCUCAACUACACUGAAACCAGUUAAUUGUACAGUUUGAGCUAUUGUAGUUUAGAGAACCUUUAAAUGCAGGUAUAUAAAAUAUUCCAUGUACAAAGAAUUCUUUUAAUACCCCAUGUGUUUUACAUAACUGAUGGUGCAAGUACAUUUUAUAACUUUUAACUUUUAACUUUCACUGUUCUGUAGUGCAUCAACAGAAGUAGUUUGACUGAACCGCUGACAGGUCUUUAAAUUUCACAUUUGUGCGAGCUGGAAAGACGAAGUCACAACAACGUACAGCUGGAUAUAAAAGACUUAAGAGGCAACACGUCGUACAUACACUAGAUGGCACCACGCCUACACAAGUGUCCACAUGCUGGACAUUAAGCAGCACCAAAAAGGUAGACCAAAGAGAUUAAAAAUAAAUAUUUAUUCUUUUUAAAACAGCAAAUAUCCACAGGACAACAGCUGCAUCUGUUUGGAGGAAGAGCAAUGUCAGAAACAGUGUUCAAGCGAAUGGAAGAUUAGGAAGUAAUCAUUUUUCCCAGCCGGAUCCUCUUCCACACGGCUUUGGGAUGAACACGCCGGACUGGCUUGUAUGAUGCCGAUGGUUGCUGGGGGGCCGCGAAGGCCUGCUGCGGCACCGAGGGACGCUGGGGGGGCAGGUAGGCCUGCCCUGGCACUACCGGGUGUGGGGGGUCCAGGUAGAUCUGCUGCGGCACAGAGGGACGCAGGGGGUCCAGGUAGGCCUUCCCCGGCGCUAAUGGACGCAGGGGGUCCAGGUAGGCCUGCCCCGGCGCUGAGGGACGCUGAGGGAACAGGUAGGCCUGCCCCGGCGCUGAGGGGCGCGGGGGGUCCAGGUAGAUCUGCUGCGGCACCGAGGGACGCUGAGGGAACAGGUAGGCCUUCCCCGGCGCUAACGGGCGCGGGGGGUCCAGGUAGAUCUGCUGCGGCGCUGAGGGACGCUGAGGGUCCACGUAUUCCUGCUGCCGUACAGGCUGGCGCCCGGGAGCCCUGCCGGUCGGCUUACUGUAUAUCACGCUCUCCUUCUCAGCGGGUUCCUUCAGUUGUAUGAUGGCGUGGCCACCGAAGCGCUCGGGGAUGGAGAUGGGUCCGAAGUGCUGCGCAGAGGUCCUGGACGCAGGGAGGUCACGGGCGCCCUGCGCCGGGUUACUGCCGCGCCAGGGGGUUUUGCGGUAGAUCUUACUGCCGGGCCUCUGCUUGGAGAAGCUCGUUGUUCCACUGGCUUCGUUGGACGCCGUAGACUGGCUGUGACGUUGGGGGAUAAAGGUGACGUGGGGCGCUGAAGCAGGCGUGUAGCUUUGUUGGGCUUGUCCUGCCUUCAUAGGGACCUCUGGGUGUUGGUUUCCAGCCUCCGGCCAACUCGGGAUAUUUCCAUUUCUCUCACUUGUUGGUGAGGACAAACGGGUCGGGUUAGAUGCCUCAGAGCCCAGACGCGAAGACACCAGUGUGGCGAACGCGCUGGCCGAUGUCGCCGUGCGACCAGGGAUUUGGUUUAGCAGAGCAGCAUCUAUGUCAGCAUCCAUGUCCAACAGGCUCAACGGAUAGUUGCCAGUACUCGGUGUAUUUGACCAAGUUCCCCUGCUAAUGGUAGUUUGAUGGUGCGUUUCAAAUGAACCACCACCAAUAAGAGCAGUAGAAAGGCCAAAUAUUUGCAGUGGCAUAGUUUCCUGAUUCAAGUUGGGUUUUGACUCAGAGCUGCUCUGCACCAACCCGGCAAAAACGCUGCUUGGUCUCGGAGCU
ensembl:lncRNA